AUACGGAGGGUGCAAGCGUUGUCCGGAUUUAUUGGGUUUAAAGGGUGCGUAGGCGGGUGAUUAAGUCUGGUUUGAAAGCAGGUCGCUCAACGAUCUGAUGUGGCUGGAUACUGGUUGUCUUGAAAUUGUUGGCCGCAGCCGGAAUGGGUCAUGUAGCGGUGAAAUGCAUAGAUAUGCCCCGGAACCCCGAUUGCGAAGGCAGGCUGCGACGACUGAUUUGACGCUGAGGCACGAGAGCAUGGGUAGC
rnacentral:rRNA from 1 species